ensembl:processed_transcript
UCUAGUAUUCACGCAAGUCUGUGUGACUGCAAACACGAGGAACAAUCUGCAGCUGACUGCAAUCUCUAGCGCUGGCACAGGAAAUCUAUAUUUAGCAGCAAUGGCUGCAGGUACUGGUGUCUGCCUCUAUGCCUCUGUGCCAGAGGGAUAAAGAGGGAAAGACAGAGGACUAGUGCUUCAUAUCCCCCCUCUGGCCUCCCCGUCUCCCUGCUCCCUGUCACUCCAUCCUUCCUUCCUCCCUCCCGGACCACCCGUCAGCGGCUGGAUCAACCCGCCCGGACCCUCCUCCCAUAGCCCCUUUGACUAUCCUCACUUCACCGUCCCAUCUAGAGAAGUGUGUUCAGGGAUUUCUGAUCGCUUGGAGUUAAAGCCUGGAUUUGACAGCGCCGUCACAGACGUAAGAGAAUCUUGGUUUGGAGAAGCAGAAGAAAACCAUUAAAAUAAAAAAA